CCUACGGGAGGCAGCAGUGGGGAAUAUUGGGCAAUGGGCGCAAGCCUGACGCAGCAACGCCGCGUGAAGGAAGAAGGCUUUCGGGUUGUAAACUUCUUUUAUUGAGGACGAAACAAAUGACGGUACUCAAUGAAUAACCCACUGCUAACUACGUGCCAGCAGCCGCGGUAAUACGGAGGUGGCAAGCGUUAUCCGGAUUUACGGGGUGUAAAGGGCGUGUAGGCGGGACUGCAAGUCAGAUGUGAAACCCAGGGGCUCAACCAAUGGCCUGCAUUUGAAACUGUUAUUCUAGAGUGGGGGAGAGGUAGGUGGAAUUCCGGGUGUAGGGGUAAAAUCCGUAGAGAUACAGAGGAAUACUAGUGGCGAAGGCGGCCUGCUGGACAUUAACUGACGCUGAGGCGCGAAAGCGUGGGGAGCAAACAGGAUUAGAUACCCCGGUAGUC
rnacentral:rRNA from 1 species